GACGUAGGAUGCGAGCGUUAUUCGGAUUUAUUGGGCGUAAAGCGUGCGUAGGCGGCUGUUUAAGUCUGGUGUUAAAGCUAGGGGCUCAACCCCUGUGGUGCAUCGGAUACUGGGCAGCUUGAGUGCGGUAGGGGAAGGUGGAAUUCCGAGUGUAGCGGUGAAAUGCGUAGAUAUUCGGAAGAACACCGGUGGCGAAGGCGACCUUCUGGGCCGCAACUGACGCCGAGGCACGAAAGCCUGGGGAGCGAACGGG
rnacentral:rRNA from 1 species